UGACAAGCGUGUGCGGCUAGUUAACUUACUUACAUCUUCAUAACAUGUGCAGUGUGUUCGUUGAUUGGCUGCUCGACACAUAUUGCACUUACGGCGAAGUUAAUGGUGGUCACAAGCACGCACGCAUGAUGUGUGGCAACUGAAGCGAGAGGAAUUAAAACCACGGUCUUCCCGCAGGCCAGCCCAGAAACGACAAGUAGCCUGCAAGUAGCCUCGCUGAUAACACGCAAGGCAAAGCUAUUGACCGCAGUGUAAAGUCUUGGACCACGAAAGGAACACAUGAGGUGCGCUUUUUCAAAGUACUCUCCAGAUGCCUGUCUGAGCUCUGAAUAUUGGAAGCCUCAUCUAGGGACAUGUCUUAAGAAGAUUGACUGCUUUGCGUCUACUUGGCUCCACCACAAUGGGAGUAUCCACUGUAAAGUGAAGAAAGAGACAAGCUAAGAACCGGUAGAGUUGCACUGAGAAGAUUACUG